rnacentral:lncRNA from 1 species
UUGUAACUGUUUUUUUGUUUAAUUUCGAAGGUAGUUUAAAAUAAAUGAUAGGAUGAAAUCUAUAUAUAAAAAAAAAUGCCACACAUGUAUGUUGUCGUUGAUGAUCAAAUGUUGAUGUCAUAUCUUGAACAAUCGCUGUUAUUUUAUUCAAAUGUUUUCAGACGCUAUCCUUUUUUAAAAUGUCCACUUGUAUAGAGGCAACCGACCUAUGUAACAUUCGAUGCCAAUACGGUCUUCUUUAGACAAUGUCCUUGUGUUGGUUUUUUUUUUUGUGUCGUUCUGUUGGCUUGCUGACUCAUUGACGUUUAUCAUUAUAAUCUUUUACUCGUACUUGUAACAUGCAUUUUAAAUUAGCAUUAAAAUAAUAUAAUAAGUUUUCACUCUAUUACACGAUCAUUACACCUAUUGACAAUUUUACUAGUAGGAUAUGGCAUAUCCUUCCAAUUGCCAUAAUUACAUAUU